UACGUAGGCAGCAAGCGUUGUUCGGAAUUACUGGGCGUAAAGCGUGUGUAGGCGGUGCUCUAAGUUCGGUGUGAAAUCUCCUGGCUUAACUGGGAGGGUGCGCCGGAAACUGGAAUGCUCGAGCGUGGGAGAGGAAAGCGGAAUUCCUGGUGUAGCGGUGAAAUGCGUAGAUAUCAGGAGGAACACCUGCGGUGUAGACGGCUUUCUGGACCAUUGCUGACGCUGAGACACGAAAGCGUGGGUAGCAAACAGG
rnacentral:rRNA from 1 species